GACCGAGCAUAGAGCACAAUCCAUCAUUCUGAAAUAGGUGUAUGUUAGUGCGUUAUACAUUCUAAGGGGCGGAUAUAAUGUAGCGCUAUAUUACCAGGCGCUCGUCCUCGUGUUGGUGAAUUGGCAACUAUUGGGAGAGCUGCUUCAACAUGCAUCAACUUCAUCUACACGUCACGUUAUCUUGGGAAAGCAUCAACGAAAAAUCUGGGACCAUUUUUUCCCUGGACAUUCCUUCUUCCAUCGGACGAAAGAUGCAAAAGCUUCAGCGCAUACUAUGAGAUUCACAGACUAAAUGUCCUUCCGUAAGCUAGAAUGUAGUCUGAUCUUCUGAUCUAUGUCAUUGGGAAUCUUGCACUUUCUCCAGACCACUCGCACUAUUUUGCACUUUUUUUUUGCACUACUUGUAUGGUUUAAUUGCAUGAUUGGACUGGAUAUUGUGGAAAUAAAGUAUUUCACUGUAUCUUUGUACAUGUGACAAUAAACUAAUUCCAAUACAGUGUAACAA